rnacentral:rRNA from 1 species
GCGUACCUUUUGUAUAAUGGGUCAGCGACUUAUAUUCUGUAGCAAGGUUAACCGUAUAGGGGAGCCGGAGGGAAACCGAGUCUUAAUUGGGCGUUAAGUUGCAGGGUAUAGACCCGAAACCCGGUGAUCUAGCCAUGGGCAGGUUGAAGGUUGGGUAACACUAACUGGAGGACCGAACCGACUAAUGUUGAAAAAUUAGCGGAUGACCUGUGGCUGGGGGUGAAAGGCCAAUCAAACCGGGAGAUAGCUGGUUCUCCCCGAAAGCUAUUUAGGUAGCGCCUCGUGAAUUCAUCUCCGGGGGUAGAGCACUGUUUCGGCUAGGGGGCCAUCCCGGCUUACCAACCCGAUGCAAACUGCGAAUACCGGAGAAUGCUAUCACGGGAGACACACGGCGGGUGCUAACGUCCGUCGUGAAGAGGGAAACAACCCAGACCGCCAGCUAAGGUCCCAAAGUCAUGGUUAAGUGGGAAACGAUGUGGGAAGGCCCAGACAGCCAGGAUGUUGGCUUAGAAGCAGCCAUCAUUUAAAGAAAGCGUAAUAGCUCACUGGUCGAGUCGGCCUGCGCGGAAGAUGUAACGGGGCUAAACCAUGCACCGAAGCUGCGGCAGCGAACGUAUCACCCAAGACAACUUUACGGAGUUGACGAUUGACGGAGCGAAGCGACGUCAAAGCGUUCAUUAAAGUCGAGUUGGCUUAGGGAUACGUUCGUUGGGUAGGGGAGCGUUCUGUAAGCCGU